GCUCGGUCAGUUAAGUGUCCAACUCUUGAUUUUGACUCAGGUCAUGAUCUCACAGUUCGUGGGUUCGAGUCCUGCAUCGGGCU
rnacentral:tRNA from 1 species